GAAAUGCGAUAAGUAAUGUGAAUUGCAGAAUUCAGUGAAUCAUCGAAUCUUUGAACGCACCUUGCGCUCCUUGGUAUUCCUUGGAGCAUGCCUGUUUGAGUAUCAUGAAAUCUUCAAAGUAAAUCUUUUGUUAACUCAAUUGGUUUCUACUUUGGUAUUGGAGGUCUUUGCAGCUUCACACCUGCUCCUCUUUGUUCAUUAGCUGGAUCUCAGUGUUAUGCUUGGUUCCACUCGGCGUGAUAAGUUAUCUAUCGCUGAGGACACUGUAAAAGGUGGCCAAGGUAAAUGCAGAUGAACCGCUUCCAAUAGUCCAUUGACUUGGAAAAUACUUUUAUGAUCUGAUCUCAAAUCAGGUAGGACUACCCGCUGAACUUAAGC
rnacentral:misc_RNA from 1 species